UGGACAAGAAGGCGUCUGGGAUUGAUGGA
rnacentral:piRNA from 1 species